GAACUGCGAUAAGUAAUGUGAAUUGCAGAAUUCAGUGAAUCAUCGAGUCUUUGAACGCACAUUGCGCCCCCUGGCAUUCCGGGGGGCAUGCCUGUCCGAGCGUCAUUGCUGCCCAUCAAGCCCGGCUUGUGUGUUGGGUCGUCGUCCCCCCCGGGGGACGGGCCCGAAAGGCAGCGGCGGCACCGUGUCCGGUCCUCGAGCGUAUGGGGCUUUGUCACCCGCUCGAUUUAGGGCCGGCCGGGCGCCAGCCGACGUCCAACCAUUUUUCUUCAGGUUGACCUCGGAUCAGGUAGGGAUACCCGCUGAACUUAA
rnacentral:misc_RNA from 1 species